GAAAGUAGAGCAUCGCCAGAUGUCUAUCAUUUACAUUGAUAAGAUACUAAAGUUUAGUUACUUUUU
rnacentral:tRNA from 1 species